UACGUAGGGUGCGAGCGUUGUCCGGAAUUAUUGGGCGUAAAGGGCUCGUAGGCGGUUUGUCGCGUCGGGAGUGAAAUCCACUGGCUUAACUGGUGGCUUGCUUUCGAUACGGGCAGACUGGAGGUAUGCAGGGGAGAACGGAAUUCCUGGUGUAGCGGUGAAAUGCGCAGAUAUCAGGAGGAACACCCGUGGCGAAAGCGGCUCUCUGGGACGGUACUGACGCUGAGACGCGAAAGCGUGGGGAGCAAACAGG
rnacentral:rRNA from 1 species